CUACGGGAUGCAGCAGUGAGGAAUUUUGCGCAAUGGGGGAAACCCUGACGGAGCGACGCCGCGUGCGGGAUGAAGGCCUUCGGGUUGUAAACCGCUGUCAGUGGGGAGGAAAUGCAUCAGGGUUCUCCCUGGUGUUUGACCGAUCCGCAGAGGAAGCGCAGGCUAAGUUCGUGCCAGCAGCCGCGGUAACACGAACUGCGCGAACGUUAUUCGGAAUCACUGGGCUUAAAGAGUUCGUAGGCGGCCUUUCAAGUCGGGUGUGAAAUCCCUCGGCUCAACCGAGGAAUUGCGCCUGAUACUGUUGGGCUUGAGGGGAUAGGGGUGAGCGGAACUGAUGGUGGAGCGGUGAAAUGCGUUGAUAUCAUCAGGAACACCGGUGGCGAAGGCGGCUCACUGGAUCUCUUCUGACGCUGAGGAACGAAAGCUAGGGGAGCGAACGGGAUUAGAUACCCGGGUAGUC
rnacentral:rRNA from 1 species